rnacentral:rRNA from 1 species
GACGAACCGUACGAACGUUAUUCGGAAUCACUGGGCUUAAAGGGUGCGUAGGCGGCGCAGAAAGUUGGGUGUGAAAUCCCUCGGCUCAACCGAGGAACUGCGCCCAAAACUACUGUGCUCGAGGGAGACAGAGGUGAGCGGAACUUAGGGUGGAGCGGUGAAAUGCGUUGAUAUCCUAAGGAACACCGGUGGCGAAAGCGGCUCACUGGGUCUCUUCUGACGCUGAGGCACGAAAGCUGGGGGAGCAAACAGG